rnacentral:rRNA from 1 species
CCAGACUCCUACGGGAGGCAGCAGUGAGGAAUAUUGGUCAAUGGGCGAGAGCCUGAACCAGCCAAGUCGCGUGAAGGAUGACGGCCCUACGGGUUGUAAACUUCUUUUGUCAGGGAGCAAUUGAGUCCACGUGUGGGCUUAGCGAGAGUACCUGAAGAAAAAGCAUCGGCUAACUCCGUGCCAGCAGCCGCGGUAAUACGGAGGAUGCGAGCGUUAUCCGGAUUUAUUGGGUUUAAAGGGUGCGUAGGCGGAGUGUCAAGUCAGCGGUAAAAUUUCGGGGCUCAACCCCGUCGUGCCGUUGAAACUGACGCCCUUGAGUGAGUGAGAAGUAAGCGGAAUGCGUGGUGUAGCGGUGAAAUGCAUAGAUAUUGCGCAGAACUCCGAUUGCGAAGGCAGCAUACCGGCGGCGAUCUGACGCUGAGGCACGAAAGCGUGGGUAUCGAACAGGAUUAGAUACCCGUGUAAC